UCGGAAUCACUGGGCGUAAAGGGCGCGUAGGCGGAUUAUCAAGUCUCUUGUGAAAUCUAAUGGCUUAACCAUUAAACUGCUUGGGAAACUGAUAGUCUAGAGUGAGGGAGAGGCAGAUGGAAUUGGUGGUGUAGGGGUAAAAUCCGUAGAUAUCACCAAGAAUACCCAUUGCGAAGGCGAUCUGCUGGAACUCAACUGACGCUAAGGCGCGAAAGCGUGGGGAGCAAACAGGAUUAGAUACCCUGGUAGUCCACGCCCUAAACGAUGUACACUAGUUGUUGGGAUGCUAGUCAUCUCAGUAAUGCAGCUAACGCAUUAAGUGUACCGCCUGGGGAGUACGGUCGCAAGAUUAAAACUCAAAGGAAUAGACGGGGACCCGCACAAGCGGUGGAGCAUGUGGUUUAAUUCGAAGAUACGCGAAGAACCUUACCUGGGCUUGAUAUCCUAAGAACCUUAUAGAGAUAUGAGGGUGCUAGCUUGCUAGAACUUAGAGACAGGUGCUGCACGGCUGUCGUCAGCUCGUGUCGUGAGAUGUUGGGUUAAGUCCCGCAACGAGCGCAACCCACGUAUUUAGUUGCUAACGGUUCGGCCGAGCACUCUAAAUAGACUGCCUUCGUAAGGAGGAGGAAGGUGUGGACGACGUCAAGUCAUCAUGGCCCUUAUGCCCAGGGCGACACACGUGCUACAAUGGCAUAUACAAUGAGACGCAAUACCGCGAGGUGGAGCAAAUCUAUAAAAUAUGUCCCAGUUCGGAUUGUUCUCUGCAACUCGAGAGCAUGAAGCCGGAAUCGCUAGUAAUCGUAGAUCAGCCAUGC
rnacentral:rRNA from 1 species